UACGUAGGGUGCGAGCGUUGUCCGGAAUUAUUGGGCGUAAAGGGCUCGUAGGCGGUUUGUCGCGUCGGGAGUGAAAUCCACUGGCUUAACUGGUGGCUGCUUUCGAUACGGGCAGACUGGAGGUAUGCAGGGGAGAACGGAAUUCCUGGUGUAGCGGUGAAAUGCGCAGAUAUCAGGAGGAACACCGGUGGCGAAGGCGGUUCUCUGGGCAUGUCCUGGCGCUGAGGAGCGAAAGUGUGGGAGCGAACAGG
rnacentral:rRNA from 1 species